GGCUGGUUAGCUCAGUCAGUUGAGCAUAGCACUAACAAUGCUAAGGUCUUGGGUUCGAUUCCCCUUCACUCCC
rnacentral:tRNA from 1 species